UCCAGACCCCAGAGACCACAUUGCUGGUGUGGCCUGUAUCCCCGUGGUCGCCAGGGAGGAUAAACGCCAUUGCUUAGAUGACGGACGGGAGCGUCCAGAAGAGGCGAGUGCUCAGUGAAGAAGCUGGGGCUGAAGGGCAGCCACACGAAUGACAGGUGAGGCAAAUUCGAACAUGCUGCUGGGAAGGAUUCAGUAAAGAGGGAGAGGCUGAAGAUGCGGGACAAAGAAGAUAACUGGUGGAGAGAGACACAGCGAGAGAGGGA